rnacentral:rRNA from 1 species
CCCUUAGAUGUUCUGGGCCGCACGCGUGCUACACUGAGUGGAUCAGCGGGUCAGGUUGCGCGAAAGCGUUUCCUAAUCUUUAAAUCCGCUCGUGAUGGGGAUUGACGGUUGCAAUUUUCUGUCAUGAACGAGGAAUACCUUGUAAGCGCGGGUCAUCAUCCCGCGCUGAAUACGUCCCUGCCCUUUGUACACACCGCCCGUCGCUCCUACCGAUUGGGUGUGCUGGUGAAAUGUUCGGAUCGGCCGUUUGUCGCGGUUUCCGCGUCAUGUGGCUGAGAAGUUAAUUAAACCCUCCCACCUAGAGGAAGGAGAAGUCGUAACA